AUGCGACAGCUCUCAGAGAUGCAGGUUGGGUCUUUUUCACCCACAGUGUUAAAUCAUCUGGAGGAAGAAGCACACGCUAGCAGAAGGAGGCUUGAGGGAGAUAAAGGAUCCACAGGAGAUAUAUUCAGUGGAAAAAAGAGAACUGCAGAUGAGAGCACUCCCCAAACUCAGCAGAGAGUCGGCCUCUUCUGGUUAGCAAAAGAGGUGAAAGCCAAAGUGAAUGAAUUUGACGAUGUUGGGCACCUGGUCACCAGGAUUGCUUUUAACUCUGGCAAAGUGGAUAUUAUUGCCAUUCAUGACCCCUUUUAUUAACCUCAAGUACCUGAUCUACAUAUUCCAGUAUGACUCCACUCAUGGCAAGUUCCAUGGCAGCAUCAAGGCUGAGAACGGGAAACUUGUCAUCAUUGGAAAUCCCCAUCACCAUGUUCCAGGAGAGAGAUCUCACCAUAAUCAAAUAGAACGAAACUGAAGCUGAUUAUGUGAUGGAAUCCACCAGUGUCUUCACUACCUUGGAGAAGGCUGAGGCUCACUUACAGGGGGAAGCCAAAGGGUCAUCAUCUCCGCCCCCUCCUCAGCGCCCCCAUGUUUGUGAUGGGCGUGAACCACGAGAAGUACCCGAACAACCUCACGAUUGUGAGCAAUGCCUCCUGCACCACCAAUUGCUUAGCCCCCUGACCAAGAUCAUCCACGACAACUUUGGCAUUGUGGAGGGACUGUUGACCACUGUCCUCACUUCACUGCCACCCAGAAGACUGUGGAUGGCCCCUCUGAGAAGCUGUGGUGCUACUGCCACAGUCCCUCUAGAACAUCAUCCCUGAGUCCACCCACACUGCCAAGGUUGGCAGUAAGGUCAUCCCUGAGCUCAAUGGGAAGUUCACUGGCAUGGCCGUCUGUGCCCCCACCACCACUGUGUCCGUCGUGAACCUGACCUGCUAUUUGGAGAAACCCGCUAAAUAUGAUGACAUCGAGAAGGUGGUGAAGCAGACAUCCAAGGGCCCCCUCAAGGGCAUACUGAGCUACACGGAGCACCAGGUUGUGUCCUCCAACUUUAACAGUAAAACCCACUCUUCCACCUUUGAUGCUGAGGCUGGCAUUGCCCUCAACAACCAAUUUGUCAAGCUCAUCUCUUGGUAUGACAAUGAAUUUAGCUACAGCAACAGGGUGGUAGACCUCAUGGCCCACAUGGCCCCCAAGGAGUGAGAGCCCCUGGAUCACCAGCCCCAGUAAGAGCAGGAGAGGAAGAGAAAAGCCUUCAGCUGCUGAGGAGUCCUUGCCGCACUCAGUCCCCAACCACACUGAGAAUCUCCCCUCCACACA